UUCGACUGUUUAACCAAAAACAUAGCUUCUGGCAAUCAUAAGAAGUUACGUCUGCCCGGUGAUUCAACAAAUUUAACGGCCGCGUUUAGUGCUAAGGUAGCAUAAUCAUUUGCCUCUUAAUUGGGGGCUAGUAUGAAUGGAUCAAACGAAGCUUUACUGUCUCAGGAUAUAAAAAGAAAAUUGAUUUAAAGGUGAAAAAGCCUUUAUUUAUGUGAAGGACGAAAAGACCCUGUAGAGUUUUAGUAAAGUUUUCCGUGCCCAGCAAACUUUUUUAAGUAAAUAGUUUGAGCAUAGAAACUUACUUUUAUUGGGGCAAUAAAAGAACAAUAAAACUCUUUUUAACAAAAAUUUAAGAUAUUAAAAUGACAAUAAUCCUCAAAGAGAAACAAGAAAAACUACCUCAGGGAUAACAGCGUAAUUCUACCAGAGAGAACUGAUCGAAGGAAGAGUUUGCGACCUCGAUGUUGGACUAAGGUAACCUUAAGGUGCAGAAGCUUUAAAGAGUAAGCCUGUUCGGCUUUUAAUACCUUACAUGAUG
rnacentral:rRNA from 1 species